AUAAUACUCCAUAGAUUAGAGACACUGGAAUGUUCUUUAGUCGAAAGUUCUGGCGCCUUAGGAUGGAUCUGCGGUCGAUUAGGUUGUUGUCGGGGUAACGGCCCAACAAGCCUGUAAUCGAUACGGGUUGUGGGAGCAAGAGCCCGGAGAUGGAAUCUGAGACACGAUUCCAGGCCCUACGGGGCGCAGCAGGCGCGAAAACUUUACAAUGCAGGAAACUGUGAUAAGGGAACUCCGAGUGCCCGUAUACGCGGGCUGUCCAGGUGUUUAAAAAUCAUCUGAAGAAAGGGCCGGGCAAGACCGGUGCCAGCCGCCGCGGUAAUACCGGCGGCUCGAGUGGUGGCCACUAUUAUUGAGAAUAAAGCGUCCGUAGCUGGACCGAUAAGUCUCUUGGGAAAUCCGCCGGCUCAACCGGCGGGCGUCUAAGGGAUACUGUUAGUCUAGGGACCGGGAGAGGUGAGAGGUACUCCGGGGGUAGGAGUGAAAUCCUGUAAUCCCCGGGGGACCACCGAUGGCGAAGGCAUCUCACCAGAACGGCUCCGACAGUGAGGGACGAAAGCUGGGGGAGCGAACCGGAUUAGAUACCCGGUAGUCCCGGCCGUAACUAUGCGCGUUAGGUGU
rnacentral:rRNA from 1 species